rnacentral:rRNA from 1 species
UACGAAGGGGGCUAGCGUUGCUCGGAAUUACUGGGCGUAAAGCGCACGUAGGCGGUCUUUUAAGUCGGGGGUGAAAUCCUGGAGCUCAACUCCAGAACUGCCUUCGAUACUGGAAGACUUGAGUCCGGGAGAGGUGAGUGGAACUGCGAGUGUAGAGGUGAAAUUCGUAGAUAUUCGCAAGAACACCAGUGGCGGAAGGCGGCUCACUGGCCCGGUACUGACGCUGAGGUGCGAAAGCGUGGGGAGCAAACAGG